UAACUUUUAUUCUCGAAGGAAAACCUGUUCCAAGUAUUUCAACUUUGCAAUGUCACUCGAUCUAGUGUUGACGAUUUAUCAACGUAAUAGACAUUUAAAGAACAACUAUCAAAUUUUAACGAUACAAAAGUCGGUCGGAAACGGAGAGGGAAGACUUACUCUUGGAAAACAAUUACAUUCAUUGUGUAUGUAUAUGUAAGUAAGUACAUACUUAUAGUUAUAUACGUACAAAUGUAAAAUUUGCAGGAUUGUGAAAUAACAACUAUGAGAAAAAUAAUAAAUAGGCACACAUUGCAAGUGAUAAAUAUACAAAA